rnacentral:rRNA from 1 species
GACGAACGCUGGCGGCGUGCUUAACACAUGCAAGUCGAACGGAAAGGCCCUGCUUUUGUGGGGUGCUCGAGUGGCGAACGGGUGAGUAACACGUGAGUAACCUGCCCUUGACUUUGGGAUAACUUCAGGAAACUGGGGCUAAUACCGGAUAUGAGCUCCUGCUGCAUGGUGGGGGUUGGAAAGUUUCGGCGGUUGGGGAUGGACUCGCGGCUUCUCAGCUUGUUGGUUGGGUAGUGGCUUACGAAGUCUUUGACGGAUAGCCGGCCUGGGAGGUGUACCGGCGACAAGGCUACUGCGGUAGGGCCCAGUAGCGUAUGGGAGGCAGCGGUGGGGAAUAUUGCGCAAUAGGGGGGAGCCAGAGGUAGCAGCGCCGCGUGCGGGAUGACGGCUUUCGGGUUGUAAACCAAUGUGGCCUGAGACGAGGCGGGAGUGACGGUAAUGGGUAAGAAAGCACCGGCUAACUACGUG